GUCUUUCCUACGCGAUGGACAUCCUCACACUGUGAACCAAAGCAGUCCCUCCAUUGAGUUGCUUUUCAGCAUUUUUGUUCGGGUUUUGCAAUUCUGAAAAUCCAUCCCAGCCAAACAUUGAGUCAUGCCCCCAGUCCUUCAGUGGCCUUAUGUCACGGCAGUGAAAAGGGUUACAGACAACAUCAGCAAACUCUGGCUAGAAUUUGUUGGAUGAACAGUCAGAGCCUGAAAUUCAGGAGUUGGAGUGGCAAGCAGGUUGAUGCUACAGACUGGAUCUCCAGGGACAUCAGAAGCGCAGUGUUAUGGACCUUUCCUUUGUAGUGCUGAUGCCUUUAUUUGUUGUCUUUAGUGACCUGCCAUCGGUUUUCAGGAAGACUGGGCUGUGCCUACAGCACAAACACUGAUACCAUCACUUCUCUGUAUCGGGGCACUUCACAGGGCAAAGGGAAUGCUGGGAGAGCAAUACGUUUUUAAAGUUUUUUUUAAUUGAUAUACUUUAUUUGAAAUGUUAUAUAGUAUUGAAAACUAAUUGUAGAGACAACAGAUGUUAUUAAUUUAUAUAACUGUUUACCAUAAAAGAGAGACAUGAAAAG
rnacentral:lncRNA from 1 species